CCUACGGGAGGCAGCAGUGAGGAAUAUUGGUCAAUGGACGAGAGUCUGAACCAGCCAAGUAGCGUGAAGGAUGACUGCCCUCUGGGUUGUAACCUUCUUUUAUAUGGGAAUAAAAUGUUCCACGUGUGGGAUUUUGUAUGUACCAUAUGAAUAAGGAUCGGCUAACUCCGUGCCGGCAGCCGCGGUAAUACGGAGGAUCCGAGCGUUAUCCGGAUUUAUUGGGUUUAUAGGGAGCGUAGGUGGAUUGUUAAGUCAGUUGUGAAAGUGUGCGGCUCAACCGUAAAAUUGCAGUUGAAACUGGCAAGCUUGAGUACAGUAGAGGUGGGCGGAAUGCGUGGUGUAGCGGUGAAAUGCUUAGAUAUCACGAAGAACUCCGAUUGCGAAGGCAGUUCACUGGACUGCAACUGACACUGAGGCUCGAAAGUGUGGGUAUCAAACAGGAUUAGAUACCCUUGUAGUC
rnacentral:rRNA from 1 species